rnacentral:rRNA from 1 species
AUUGAACGCUGGCGGCGUGCCUAACACAUGCAAGUCGAGCGAGCGGCGGACGGGUGAGUAAUGUAUGAGGAUCUGCCCGAUCGAGGGGGAUAACUGCUGGAAACGGUGGCUAAUACCGCAUACUGUCGGUUGAACCCAUAGGUGAUGAGCUAGUCGGUGGGGGAAAGGCUCACCAAGGCGACGAUCGCUAGCGGGUCUGAGAGGAUGAUCAGCCACACUGGGACUGAGACACGGCCCAGAAUCCUACGGGAGGCAGCAGUGGGGAAUAUUGCACAAUGGGCGCAAGUCUGAUGCAGCCAUGCCGCGUGUAUGAAGAAGGUCUUAGGUUUGUAAAGUACUGUCAGCGGGGAGGCGUUACCCGCCGAGGAAGCACCGGCUAACUCCGUGCCAGCAGCCGCGGUAAUAC